UGCAGGUUUGCUUUGCCAUUAGAGACACCUUCAAGAGAGAGAAAGGAAAGUGAAAGGAGCUCGUGGCUGCUGCACACCCUGUUCCAAGUGCUAAAGCUGAGCUAGGAAAGGAGAACAAAAGGUAUUUAAUGCAAGUUUUGGGCAGUUCCACUGUCAGAGAGCCGGGCUGAGCUGGGCUGAUGCUGCAGCAAUAAUUCAGGAUCUCAGGAGGCACUCCCGGCUCCUUCAGGGGUGUUGGAGGUUCC